rnacentral:rRNA from 1 species
UCCUACGGGUGGCUGCAGUACGGGAAUAUUGGGCACAGUUCGGAAUAUUGACCCAUGCCAUGAAAGCGUGCAGGAUGAAGGCCUUCGUGGAGUUGUAAACUGCUUUUAUCAGGGAAGAAAAUUUUCCCGGGGGAGUAAAUGACGGUACCUGAUGAAUAAGCACCGGCUAACUCCGUGCCAGCAGCCGCGGUAAUACGGAGGGUGCAAGCGUUGUCCGGAUUUAUUGGGUGUAAAGGGCGCGUAGGCGGCCCGUUAAGUCAGAGGUGAAAUCCCGGGGCUCAACCCUGGAACUUCCGUUGAAACUAGAUAGCUUGAAUCCGGGAGAGGGGGGUGGAAUUGGUGGGGGUGGGGGUAAAAGUAGUGAUUCCUCGCGAAGAACACCGAGUGGCGUAAGGGCAGCUUCACUGGCACAGAACUGACG